rnacentral:misc_RNA from 1 species
UACGUAGGUGGCAAGCGGUGUCCGGAAUUAUUGGGCGUAAAGCGCGCGCAGGCGGUCCCUUAAGUCUGAUGUGAAAGCCCACGGCUCAACCGUGGAGGGUCAUUGGAAACUGGGAGACUCGAGUACAGAAGAGGAAAGCGGAAUUCCACGUGUAGCGGUGAAAUGCGUAGAGAUGUGGAGGAACACCAGUGGCGAAGGCGGCUUUCUGGACUGACACUGACGCUGAGGUGCGAAAGCGUGGGUAGCAAACAGG